rnacentral:lncRNA from 1 species
UUCCGAUUGGGCAGGAGGCUUACCCCCGCAGCGGUCUAUUAAGCCUAUUGGUCGAGCCCGCUUUGGGGGCGGGGCUUGCGCGCUCCCCGCCCUCGCCUGCGCCGCGGCGCAAGGGGCGGGGCGCGCCGCCGCCGUCCGUGUUUCCGCCGCCGCCGGCUCCUGCGCGUUGGGCGGGGGAGGAGUCGGAGGCGGAGAAGAAGGCGGCGGCGGCGGCGGGUGGAGGACCGAGCGCCGUCCUCGCUCCGGAGCCGCUUCUCAGCUCGAACUUCAAACAGCAUGGAAGGACUAAGGUGAAAAGUGCAUCUCCCACUUCCCCUUCUAGUUCUGCCUUCGUUCUGAGAGUCAGCUGUUCAGUAAACUUCCUCUUUAUGUGAUUAUUUCUGGAGCAUGUAUUCCUAGAAAUUGAAUUGCUAGAUUAAAAACAGUAUGCAUUUAAGUUUUGAUAACCUAUUAAAUUUCUCCCUACUUAGUACUCUUUUCCAAGUUAAUCUUAUGCAUUCUACAAAUGAACUUUAGACUCAACUUGCAAAUUAGAUAAAAGAUCCUUUAGGUGUUUUGAGUGAGGUUAUAUUGAAAUUUUAGAUUAAUAUGGAGCAUAUUGUACUUUGUGAUACUGAAUCUCUCCCCUCUGAUAGAUAUGUAUAGCAUGUCUCUUAAUUCACAUCUUGCUUAAGGAAAGUUUUAUAAUUUUAUUCCAUAAAACUCUAUGGCAUUCCAUCUUGGUAGCUCUGGUGGAUAGAAACUUUAAGUAACAUUUAUUUCUCACCCCCCAGUUAUACCAAAGCUUU